UAACGCGAAGAACCUUACCAGGUCUUGACAUACCAUUGACCGUUCUAGAGAUAGGAUUUUCCCUUCGGGGACAAUGGAUACAGGUGGUGCAUGGUUGUCGUCAGCUCGUGUCGUGAGAUGUUGGGUUAAGUCCCGCAACGAGCGCAACCCCUGUCGUUAGUUGCCAGCAUUCAGUUGGGGACUCUAACGAGACUGCCAGUGACAAACUGGAGGAAGGUGGGGAUGACGUCAAAUCAUCAUGCCCCUUAUGACCUGGGCUACACACGUGCUACAAUGGUUGGUACAAAGAGAAGCGAAGCGGUGACGUGGAGCAAACCUCAUAAAGCCAAUCUCAGUUCGGAUUGUAGGCUGCAACUCGCCUACAUGAAGUUGGAAUCGCUAGUAAUCGCGAAUCAGAAUGUCGCGGUGAAUACGUUCCCGGGUCUUGUACACACCGA
rnacentral:misc_RNA from 1 species